rnacentral:rRNA from 1 species
AGCAGCCGCGGUAAUUCCAGCUCCAAUAGCGUAUAUUAAAGUUGUUGCAGUUAAAAAGCUCGUAGUUGAAUUUCGGGGUCAGUAGAUUGGUCGUGCCACUGGUAUGUACUGGUCUCACUGGCUCCUCCUUCCUGAUGAACCGUAAUGCCAUUAAUUUGGUGUUGCGGGGAGACUGGACUGUUACUUUGAAAAAAUUAGAGUGUUUAAAGCAGGCUAACGCUUGAAUACAUUAGCAUGGAAUAAUGAAAUAGGACGUUCGAUCCUAUUUUGUUGGUUUCUAGGAUUGACGUAAUGAUUAAUAGGGAUAGUUGGGGGCAUUAGUAUUCAAUUGUCAGAGGUGAAAUUCUUGGAUUUAU